rnacentral:rRNA from 1 species
GAUGAACGCUAGCGGCAGGCCUAACACAUGCAAGUCGAGGGGCAGCACAAGGAGCAAUCUGAGGUGGCGACCGGCGCACGGGUGAGUAACAGGUAUGUAAUCUACCGUCAACUGGGGAAUAACCCGUCGAAAGGCGGACUAAUACCGCAUAAGACCACGUUUCGGCAUCGAAAUGAGGUAAAAGAUUUAUUGGUUGACGAUGAGCAUGCUCAACAUUAGGUAGUUGGUAGGGUAAUAGCCUACCAAGCCUACGAUGUUUAGGGGUUCUGAGAGGAAGGUCCCCCACACUGGAACUGAGACACGGUCCAGACUCCUACGGGAGGCAGCAGUGAGGAAUAUUGGUCAAUGGUCGGAAGACUGAACCAGCCAUGCCGCGUGAAGGAAGACGGUUUUAUGAAUUGUAAACUUCUUUUGCAGGGGAACAAUAAGCGAUACGUGUAUCGUGAUGCGUGUACCUUGCGAAUAAGCAUCGGCUAACUCCGUGCCAGCAGCCGCGGUAAUACGGAGGAUGCGAGCGUUAUCCGGAUUUAUUGGGUUUAAAGGGUGCGUAGGCGGGCGCAUAAGUCAGAGGUGAAAUGCUGUGGCUCAACCAUAGAAUUGCCUUUGAUACUGUGUGUCUUGAGUACGUCUGAGGUAGGCGGAAUGUGCAGUGUAGCGGUGAAAUGCUUAGAUAUUGCACAGAACACCGAUUGCGAAGGCAGCUUACUAAGACGCCACUGACGCUGAAGCACGAAAGUGUGGGGAUCAAACAGGAUUAGAUACCCCGGUAGUCCACACUGUAAACGAUGAUUACUGGAUGUUUGUUGGUUUACCCGAUGAGCGUCUGAGUGAAAGCAUUAAGUAAUCCACCUGGGGAGUACGUGCGCAAGCAUGAAACUCAAAGGAAUUGACGGGGGCCCGCACAAGCGGAGGAACAUGUGGUUUAAUUCGAUGAUACGCGAGGAACCUUACCCGGGCUCGAACGCAGAGGGGAAUGUGUGGGGAAACUGCACAG